rnacentral:rRNA from 1 species
UAGGGAAUCUUCCGCAAUGGACGCAAGUCUGACGGAGCAACGCCGCGUGAGUGAAGAAGGAUUUCGGUUCGUAAAACUCUGUUGUUAGAGAAGAACAGCGCAUAGAGUAACUGUUAUGCGUGUGACGGUAUCUAACCAGAAAGCCACGGCUAACUACGUGCCAGCAGCCGCGGUAAUACGUAGGUGGCAAGCGUUGUCCGGAUUUAUUGGGCGUAAAGCGAGCGCAGGCGGUCAAUUAAGUCUGAUGUGAAAGCCCCCGGCUCAACCGGGGAGGGUCAUUGGAAACUGGUUGACUUGAGUGCAGAAGAGGAGAAUGGAAUUCCAUGUGUCGCGGUGAAAUGCGUAGAUAUAUGGAGGAACACCAGUGGCGAAGGCGACUCUCUGGUCUGUAACUGACGCUGAGGUUCGAAAGCGUGGGUAGCAAACAGG